CAAUAGAAAAGAGAUAGUAUAGUAAGUGAAGCAAAGCUAAGUGAUAGUGACUAAAAGAUACGGGGGACCAUUGUUACUCCAUAGACUUUUAAGAUUGCAUUAUGUAUUCUUGGUGUCAUUAAAACUGGUAGACAUGUUUGAUUUGAUAAAAGAAAAAAAAAAUCUGACAACAAAUAAAAAAUAACAGAAAACUAAACUGUAUGUGAUCCCUUCAUUUUCUUUAUUUUU